GAUGAACGCUGGCGGCGUGCCUAAUACAUGCAAGUCGAGCGAACGGACGAGAAGCUUGCUUCUCUGAUGUUAGCGGCGGACGGGUGAGUAACACGUGGAUAACCUACCUAUAAGACUGGGAUAACUUCGGGAAACCGGAGCUAAUACCGGAUGAUAUUUUGAACCGCAUGGUUCAAAAGUGAAAGACGGUCUUGCUGUCACUUAUAGAUGGAUCCGCGCUGCAUUAGCUAGUUGGUAAGGUAACGGCUUACCAAGGCAACGAUGCAUAGCCGACAUGAGAGGGUGAUCGGCCACACUGGAACUGAGACACGGUCCAGACUCCUACGGGAGGCAGCAGUAGGGAAUCUUCCGCAAUGGGCGAAAGCCUGACGGAGCAACGCCGCGUGAGUGAUGAAGGUCUUCGGAUCGUAAAACUCUGUUAUUAGGGAAGAACAUAUGUGUAAGUAACUGUGCACAUCUUGACGGUACCUAAUCAGAAAGCCACGGCUAACUACGUG
rnacentral:rRNA from 1 species